rnacentral:rRNA from 1 species
UACGAAGGGGGCUAGCGUUGUUCGGAGUUACUGGGCGUAAAGGGUGUGUAGGCGGUUGCUUAAGUUUGGUGUGAAAUCUCCCGGCUCAACUGGGAGGGUGCGCCGAAUACUGAGUGACUCGAGUGCGGGAGAGGAAAGUGGAAUUCCUGGUGUAGCGGUGAAAUGCGUAGAUAUCAGGAGGAACACCGGUGGUGUAGACGGCUUUCUGGACCGUAACUGACGCUGAGACACGAAAGCGUGGGUAGCAAACAGG